rnacentral:rRNA from 1 species
GGACCAGCACAAAUGGUGGAGCAUGUUGUUUAAUUCGUUAACACACGUGAACCUUACCAAGUAUUGAACCACAGCAAAGCCUUGGAAACAAGGUGGAGGUUAACUGUGAGUCAGGUGGUGCAUGUCCGUCAUCAGUUCGUGUCGUGAGAUGUUGGGUUUAGUCCCGCAACGAACGCAACCCUUUUCGUUAGUUAAUUUUCUUAGCGAUACUGCCUGUGUAAGCAGGAGGAAGGUGGGGACGAUGUCAGGCCAUUAUACCCUUUAUAACUUGGGCUACAAACGUGCUACAAUGGUCGGUACAAAGAGUUGCAAGCCAGUAAUGGUGAGCUAAUCUGUAAAAGCCGAUCUCAGUUCGGAUUGAGGAUUGCAAUUCAUCCUCAUGAAGUUGGAAUCAUUAGUAAUCGCGUAUCAGACAUGUCG